CAGAGAACUUUCCAGAGAUGGAUUGUUGCCUUCGGGAACUAUGAGACCGGUGGUGCCAGGCUGUUGUCAACUCGUGUUGUUAAAAGGUGGGUUAAGUCCCGCAACGAGGGCCACCCUUAUCUUUUGUUGCCCGUCGUUCGGCCGGGCACUCUAAGGAGACUGCCGGUGACAAACUGGAGGAAGGUGGGGAUGACGUCAAGUCAUCAUGGCCCUUAUGACUUGGGCUACACACGUGCUACAAUGGCGGAUACAAAGGGAAGCGACCUCGCGAGAGCGAGCGAACCUCAUAAAGUCGGUCGUAGUCCGGAUUGGAGUCUGCAACUCGACUCCAUGAAGUCGGAAUCGCUAGUAAUCGUGGAUCAGAAUGCCUCGGUGAAUACGUUCC
rnacentral:rRNA from 1 species